CUCUAGUUCUUGCUAUUUACUGAACUGAACCAAAUCAGAAUGAAACAGAGACUGGCUUAAUACAAGCCUCUACAAGUCACGGACCAUGAUAACGUACUGAGAGCUGCAGUUCUACAGAGAGCAAACUAUCCAGCUCCAGUCUCCCAGCCAGUGGUGGAGCACCUGACUGUGGAGUCAGGAGUCGGGAGAAUGAUUUCCCACAGUGCCUUGUAGGAGAAGAGCCAGCCUGUGUGGACUUGGGUAAAUUACACAGUUCCAGAGUGGCCCAGAAGAAGGGAAGGAUGUAGAGAGGAAGUCAUUGAACCGGGAGCAGGCUGCGGUGGAAUUUGCCGCUCUAUCAGAAGAUCUGGGAACCCUAUUGUCUCCCUAGAAGCUGAUGGAGGAUUGAGAGACUUCUCCCAAAGAUAGGACCUCAGUCUCUGGAGCUGAAGUUUGAGGGCCGGCUUUGUUAAUCUCUUGCAUGCCGCAUAAGAAUAGGUGGAAUGUUGUUCACCAAGUCAAAAUAAACAGCGGUCGUGGCCAUCGGUUAAAGGUAUUUCGUUCGCACAAACAACACACCACUUAAACGGGCCAGGUGAGGCCAUGAAGAGUGGGGAAAAAGAAGGGGGAAAUGGAUUGAGGAGGAGGAGGGGGGAAGGGAAGCAAAACAUGCGGCUAGAUAAAAAUAGAAUGAAUUU